AACUUCCAAAGUUGGAACUCUUAAAAGGAAGAAACAAAUGAGAGAUUUUCUGGAACAGUUGCCAAAAGAUGACCAUGAUGAUUUUUUCAGUACAACACUUUUGCAGAAUCAAAGAGUACUGUUGCCAAGCUUCCAGGACAGUGAAGACGAUGAGGAUAUUCUGCCAAAUAUGGACAAAAAUCCAACAACUCCAUCGUCAGUUAUCUUUCCAUUGGCAAAAACUCCUCAAUGUCAGCAUGUCAGUCCUGGCAUGCUAGCCUCUAUAAAUAGGAAUGAUUGUGAUAAAUACGUUUUUUGCAUGCAAAAAAAUCAUAAAAGUAAUGGUGGCAUUGUCUGGGGCAACAUCAAGAAAAAAAUGGUAAGUAUUUUUAUUUAUCCAACACUUACCUAUGAAACAACUAUAAUAUGUGAUAAAUUGUGGUAGUUAUCAGUUAUGUAACAGUCCCUGCUCAAGGUACUUUUAACUCAAUACAAGUAAACUAUAAUAUGAGGCCAUGAAUGAGGUAAGUACGUUAGGUACUGUAGGAUUAUAGGAGGGGUGGCAGCUCAUAGACUAAAGCCUUUGUUUGACCAAGGUGAGAGUAGGUAAAUAUUUUCAUUUGGGAAGUGAAGUAGGGUAGGGAAAUAGAUAUACAAGUCAGGGGAGGACAUUUCAGGCAAGACAAAAAAGCAUAGUGUUUGUUCAGUGAUUGGGGAGUAAUUUAGACUAAUUGGGUCAUGAUUUUCAUAGAAUAGGAAAUUUCAUCAAAUCCCAUGCAACUUUAUAAUGCUUUCAAUGUUUUUCAGAUUGUUACUUUUUUUUUUAACAUUCCAACAUUUAAAAUCCAAUUAGGGAAAAAAUUUUAACUUAAAAGAUGCCUUAAUAGAGUGAUCUUUGAGAAAAGAUUAGGAGAAUCCUUUAUUCCCUUGAAUUACUUUUUGAAUUUCUAAUUUUAAUUUGAAUAACUGAUAACCAAAUAUAAGUACUAGUAUUCUGAAAAAGUUAUGUCACCUCAAAUUUCCUCAAAAUAAAUAGCUAAUCUUAGAGAAUGAUAGUUUAUGGUGGUAGGGGACCACCUGUCUCCCUGAUGGUACUGCUUCAGAUGAGGUUAUGGCCACUUCUUCCUUACUCAUUUUGAAAUAUAUAUACUGCAAACUAGCCAAAGUAUAAUUCUUCUCAGACCUCUAAAUUAAAUACUGUGAUUACAUAAUUAUAUCCAAACUUUAUGGGCUUUACUUGAUCAUAGGAAAUGGUAGCUACCUCAUUGGGACCUUGGUUUAAAGUCAGACUGGGGACUAAAUUCAAAAGAAAUCUGUAGUCUAUAAUUGAAGGAGGCACAUUACGUCUCUGUUUAAGAUUCCCUUUUUCCAGUCCCACAUACUUUAAUGAGAAUGAAAUUUUGGUUUGUUGGAAAGGACCUAGAAUUAUUUAAUAAGAAAGCCUUGGAAUGGAAAUCCAAAGACUUGGCAUUACUUCCUGUUUUGCCAAUAAGAAGCUGGGUUGCAUUGAAAAGUGCCCUAAUGUUUCUGAAAAUUUAAUGUGCAUAGAAGUCAUCUGGGGAUCUUGUUAAGCUCCAGUUCUUAUGCGGUAGAUUUAAAAUUCUUCAUUUCUAACAAGUUCCUGGGGAUGUCUGUGCUACUGAUCCAUGGACCAUACUGAGUAAUAAGAUUCUAAUCCACUCAGUCUGUUUGCUCUGCAAAAUCAAGAGAGGCUGAUAUGGAUAUAUCUACAGGGGCCUUUCCUAGUAAGAACUUUUACUCUUAACUACUUCUGAUUUUUUUUUUAUAGGUUACAAUUUCAGCAGUCUACCAAACCAUAAUUUGUGGUUUAGCCCCAUUUUUUUCAUAGCAUAUUUUGUAGCCAAUGUGUUAGGAUUGUUCUAAUUUCAAGGUCUGACUCCACAUUACCAACUUUAUGACACUGAGCAAGCUACUUGAAUUUUCUAAUCCCAAUUAUGUGUAGUAUAACAAUGGUGAUCACGAUUAUACUGGUUUAUGUCCUGAAUAAUUUUAAGAGCCAAAUAACAUAAUGCAGUGUUUUGCCUCAUCUGAUAUGAAAAAACUACUAUGUGUGGGCCUAAGUUUGUAUAUCAAGUUUUUUACAACAAUACUUACUUACCCUUAGUAUGGGAGUUAUACACUAUCAUGUUUUCUAUUCUAUUCCUUUUGGUUUUUUAAAUAUUGCCAGUCAUGGCCUAUUGUUUGAUAAGCACUGAUGUAUGUGAGCAUGUACUUCAAAUUUAUUGUAUACGUUACCAUUUUAGCCAAGAAUGUGAAGAAAAUUAGUUUUGCUAGUGUAAUGUUUUCCAAGUGCAUAUUUUUACCUACAGUCAGUUGUAAUAAUAAUAAUCAUGAUAAAUUGUUUACAUUUUGAGUUAAGUUUACUAGCUCAAUAUAUAAUUAUUUGAGUGAAAUAAUAGUACAUUUUGGCAACUUUCAGAGGCCCAUAGACUAUCCUCCUUUAACUACUGUAGCAUUAGUUUGUAAUAUUUUCAUACAGUAAUGUUUGUCAGCAGUGCGAAACACUAAGUCAUGGUUUUUGCCCUGGGUGAACUCAACUUAAAAGAGAAUUAGCCAUCUCACAGAUAAUUAUAAUGUGAUUACAUAUCAUGAGCAUAUGUUCAAAGUACUCAGGCCCAACGUAUGCUUAAUUUUGUCUAGGUUUGAGGUAGGCAUCACAGGAAGUACCAUUUAACUAUUAAUAUGAAUUCUUUCAUAGGUUGAAACGGAUUUCACAACUCCAACAUCAAGAAGAAAAAGUCAAUUUAACAAAGGUAAUACACUUAUAUCUUCUUUUGUAGCUCAGUUCUAUUAUAUGGUAGUUUAUUUAGUUGAUAUUAAAAUUAAUUGCUCUCAAGUAGACAGAUCUACCAUUCUUUGUAAUUGUUUUCAGUUUCAUUGAAAUUACAUGUAGAAAUGUAUUAAUCCUUUCUAUUAAACUUCUCUCUCUUCACAGAUUUAGGAGAAAACUGUGGUAUUGGAAAACUUUUCACUAAUGCUAUGGAAUCUUUAGAUGAAGAAGAGAAAGAUUAUUAUUUUUCAAACUCUGAUUCUGCAUAGUAAAAAUGACAAAAUAUAACUUCUAGGAUUUUUACCAUAAAUCCUGGAAAUCAUAAAGCAGACAAUGUAUUUGUAUCUUCAUUUGGAGUACAUGUAUUUUCUUUGUAAUGUAGCUUCAUAUGAAAAUGAUUUUUUUCCAAAGGUUUCAUGUGUUUAUAUUCAAGGUAACAAAUCCUUGUAUAGAAUAUUCUCAUUGUUGUACGUAACUAAAAAUGUAAGGAAAAUUGUUUCACUUAUGGUUUGUAAAUUUGUUUUACAAUAUUAAAAUAUAUAGAUAAGUUUCUUAUAAAUAUCUAAGUCUGUUUACUUUUAGAAAAUCAUGUUCCAAACAGAUUUUUAAAAAGCUUUCAAGAAAAUGUUACUCUACUAUAAGUGAAGUGAGGUUGGAGAGGGGAUGAAAGAAGUUGUAUUGGUGGCUACUGAAUUCAUGAAAACUUCUAAGUUAGCAUUUACCACCACUUGAUACACAAGCCAGAGUUGAUGUAAUGUUUAAAUUACACACUCGUAACACUAUGUGACAUGCUUCUCUCCUGAUAGUUUUCUUAAAAUUUGUGAUUGACAUAUAUCUAUGAAAUCUAUGUAAAUUUCAUUUAUUGAUUUUUCAUUAUUUUAUCAGGUAGAAUUAGAUAAUAGCUUUGUUCCAUUCUUAAGCCUUAUUUACAUAUGCAGACAAAGCUUAAAUUUGGUCUCAAUAUUUUGACUGGAUUAGACAUUCAGUUAAUACAUCCACCAUUAGAAAGGAGUCAAGUUUAUGAUAUAUCAUGAUAAACAUCCUUUUUCUUUCUUGAUAUCUCCUUUAGAAAUAAACUGCUUUUAGAUUAUUAUGUUUUACAAUUUGAUAUAGAAUAUCUUCCCUCUGGCUACACAUUCACCUACCCUUUGUCUCCAGUUAGAGUGUCCAAAUAAAGUUAGACUGCUUUUAUAUUAUUUGUUUCUUGUUUUUGUUGUUUAUUUUUAAUUACUAGGUCAUAGAAAAAGAAAUAAGCAUUUUGUUACUGGUUCUGUUUUAGUUUCCUCAAAAAAUAUCUGAACUUUUAGUAGAAAAUAACAUUUUCUUCUUUCUUAAAAAUUUAGUCAGCCAGGUGUGGUGUCAUGUGCUUGCAGUCCCAGCUACUCAAGAGGCUGAGCAGGAAGAUAGCUUGAGCCUAGGAGUUUAAGUCUGUAGUGCCCUAUAAUUGCACCAGUGAAUAGCCACUGCACUGCAACCUGGAUAACAUAGUGAAACCCUGUCUCUUUCAAACAAAGCAAAAAAAUAAAGAAUUUAGUUAGUAAUAACCAGCUGGGCAUGGUGGCUCAUGCCUAUAAUCCUAGCACUCUGUGAGGCCAAGGUAAGAGGAUUGCUUGAGCUCAGCAGUUCAAGACCAGCCUGAGCAAGAGCAAGAUCCUAUCUCUACUAAAAAUUAGCUGGGCAUGGUGUUAUGUACCUGUAGUCCCAGCUACAUAGGAGGCUGAGACAGGAGGAUCACCUGAGCCCAGGAGUUUGGGGUUGCUGUGAGUUAGGCUGACGCCA
ensembl:lincRNA